AGCUUCUGAGGCUGCGCAGGGGGAGAAAAGGGUUAGGGGGUCGAGCCCUGACUUCGCCUCCUCUUCCAAGAAGCCUUCCCAGACACUCAGCUGUAAAACCAGACGGACGUCCUCCGAUGAAAUUGUUUCUACUUAGGGCCGGCUUCACCGGCUUGGAAUCCACUUAGAAGGGUCUUCGCGCUUGGUUGAAUGUUCUGCAAUUUCUGUCUUGAAAUUUUUAGUUUUUGAGCAAGGGGCCCCUUAUUUUCACUUUGCACUAGGCCAAAUAUGUAGCCGGUCUUGCUGCUAAGAGUCUAAGAUCGAUUGCAUUCCAAAUUCUGGAAUUAUAAGACCCUGGGUGGAAGAUUCUAUGCUUUGACCAGAAGAGAGUCUAAGCAGCUUUUGUCUCCCAGGUGCUAGGAGGAUGUGUGCUCAUCAUUCUUCCAUUCCAGGGGCCUUUGUUCUACGUUCUAAGGGGCUUUGUUCUCAGCCUUCUAUGAUGCUCUAUUCUCAACGUUCUCUGGUCCUAGGAGUCUGAGCCUGACAUUCGUUUCCAAGGCUUCCUGCUGUCUCUCCAGGCUCCGCAAGCAGGGCUGGGGCACCCUCAGGCGGCCAAUCUGUAUCACUACGCCGAGCCUGCCUCUACCAACUUCCAAGACCUAGCUCUAAUAUUCAUACUCAUCUCUCAGACAGACCUUGGCUCCCUAAAAGCCAAGGCCCAGAAGAUCAUACAAGAAAUUCCCUCUUUUAUGAUUCCCCGUGCACGAAGUGACCUUCUGGUGGUGAGAUGGAGAGAAAUUGAUAGUGGCGAUAGACAGCAAAGUCUCCAGGAGCCAGACUUCCUCGGGGUGAGUCACAGAUCUGUCACUUUCCAGCUGUGUGACCUUGGAAAACUUACUUAACCUCUCUGUGCCACCGUUUCUUCAUCUGAUCACGGGAUCAUAAUACUGGCUGCCUCAUACAGUUGUUCUGAGGAUUCAAUGAAAUGUAUUAGGUACUUGGA
rnacentral:lncRNA from 1 species